rnacentral:ribozyme from 2 species
AUGUUAAAGCAGCCAUGCUUAGGCAUGCCGGUCUCAAGCCCGGAUAAAUGCUGAGAGACAU